rnacentral:rRNA from 1 species
AGGAUGAACGCUGGCGGUAUGCUUUACACAUGCAAGUCGAACGCAAGUUUUUAACUUGAGUGGCGGACGGGUGAGUAACACGUGAGAAUUCGCCUUUAGGCGGGGAAUAACCAUCGGAAACAAUGGCUAAAUGCCCCAUAUGCUCGUAAGAGUGAAAGGAGCAAUCCACCCAGAGAGAAGCUCGCGGCUGAUUAGCUAGUUGGUAAGGUAAUGGCUUACCAAGGCGACGAUCAGUAGCUGGUUUGAGAGAACGAUCAGCCACACUGGGACUGAGACACGGCCCAGACUCCUACGGGAGGCAGCAGUGAGGAAUUUUCCGCAAUGGGCGAAAAGCCUGACGGAGCAAUGCCGCGUGGAGGAUGAAAGCCUAUGGGUUGUAAAACUCCUUUUAUCAGAGAAGAAAUAUUGACAGUAUCUGGGGAAUAAGCAUCGGCUAACUCCGUGCCAGCAGCCGC